rnacentral:lncRNA from 1 species
UCAUCUAGAUAUGCAAACCUCUCAAAUCUCGCCACCACCAAGGCCAAGGCUAUUAAUUUUGAAAAGCGAAGACAUAAUUGGUGGGGACGACGAUUCAUAAUAUAAAACUAUUUUUUUCUAGAGAUAGAUAAUAUGUUAUUCGUUUCGUUUAAUUCAUUUAGAAAUAAACUUAGCUUUAAAUGUGAAUCAAGUACUAGAAUUCGAAUUGGUGGGGACGACAUUUAUUUCAUUAGAAAUAUUAUAAAACUAUUUAAUCUGCUGUUUGUAUAGCUUUAGAUUUUAUAUAAAUUUAAAUAAUAAAUUGUGAAUAUAACGGUGUUUUAUCAGAACUGUCCCACUGAAGUUUUGUUUCAGAGAUUCUAUUUUGGGGCAAAAGCUUUCAAAUCGGUCUAAAAUCGA